rnacentral:lncRNA from 1 species
CAGACGACAAACAGACAGACAGGCUGCGACAGAGUGAGGGAGAGAGGGUUAAAGAAAAGAGAUAAAAGAAUGCGGAGUGCUUGUUGCGUGUGACUGUGCAUGAGCGGAGGCGUUGGCGGAGCGAGGCACAGUAGGCGCUUACUAUUAUAUUCGACUAGCAAAACGGGGGGAAAGAUAACACACACACACACAUACACAUUUAUUUAUUUAUAGGGGGCGUUGCUAGCGACCUGGUUUAGAUUCUCUUGUAAAUUGUCUCCCAGUUCAGUAUAUUACUCAGUUAUCUCCCCGCUGUUUCCUUUUUUCUUCUGUAUUCUCUGGAAGAAUUUUUCGCGAUGGCUGCGGAGGACACAGGCCAGGGACCUUACAAAUCCCCGGAUUUUUGUCAGGGUUAUGGUAACCCCAAAUUCAAGGUUCUCUCCAAGACUGAUGAUUACGAACUGAGAGAGUAUGAAACAACGAGAUGGGUAGCCAUUAAGAAAGAGAUGCCGCAAAUCACCCAUUCCAACAGCAGCAUGUUCUUCAGCCUGUUCAAGUACAUCCGAGGAAAGAACUCUGA